rnacentral:lncRNA from 12 species
AUGGAGGGUCACGGAAUUAGGAUGGACAAUGUCGGUGUCAGCCGCCUGCCGGACUGGACGGAGGAAGGCCUCUGCUCCUGUGGCCCGGACGCUGCCUCCCGCGACUUUAACAUCCCUCUCUGCCCCGCCGACACUGUGCCCUGGGGAGCUGCCCACCAGGUAGGUGCCUUUGCCCACCUGACUCCCUCACCCCCUGGUUUCCAGCCGAUCAGAGGGAGUGGCAGGACAUCACAGGGAGGAAAGCAGACGGGAGGGCUGCUUGUUCUUCCUCACCGGCCUUUAGGAGCACAGAUCCCACCAGAUGGCCCUUCCUGAGGCCCUGGGCCUCGCUCUGGUGACAAGCAUCCUUCUUCCCACACCCCUUCAGCCUGGGGGUGGUCAUAGCUUCUUCUGUCACAGGUCUCUCGGUGCCUCAGCAGCCCUGGUGGUUCUCUCAAUGCUGCCAACACCUCUGAAAAUGCUCUUUUCAUUAACAAAUCUCUUUGCCCCCCCCCAUAAGUGGGCCAUCUGU